UCUACAGAUCAUCUUUCUCAUCAGAUCCUUCGCCGCAGCAGAAACAGUCCUAAAAAUCCGCGGCGGAAACCUCAGAUUCCCUCUUAUAACGGCUUCAAAUAUCUCCUCUACAGUCUCGCCGUAAAAUGGCGGGAUCCCCGCCAACAUCACAUACAAAACGACGCCAGCGCUCCACACAUCAGAUUUCUCAUUAUACUCCCUCCCCAUGACCACCUCGGGCGCCACAUAAUACGGCGUUCCCACCACACCACUCAUCGUCCUCUCCUCCCCAAGCCAAUCGGCCGAACCAAAAUCCGCCAAUUUCACCCUGUUUCUCGAAUCGAACAAUAUAUUAUCUGGCUUUAUGUCCCUGUGAACGAUAUUGAAUCUAUGACAAUGGGCAAUCGCAUUUAACAACUGUUUCAUAAUGGAAGCGGAUUUCCCCUCGCAUAAUCCGCCAUUACUCUUGUUGAUCCGAUCAUAAAGAGUAUACUGCUCGCAAAGCUCCAUGACCAUGGUGAGGGAGUCAUCAGUAUCAUAGACGUCGUGGAUCUGAACAAU
rnacentral:misc_RNA from 1 species